GUAUUGAUAUAAAAGCAGCUGAUUUUCUGUGGAUAAUAAUCUAAUUUAUUCUACUUCAAGGAGCAAGUUUUUGAUCAAACCAACAUGGCUUUCGCAGGAUUUUCUAUCGGGAUAGGGACUGCUGGUGGAUAUAACAAUGGUUUUUACAAUGGUGGUUACCGCCCCAAUGUCUACGUACAGCCAGGGCUUGCUGUUGGUGGUUUAUAUCCUGGAUUUGCUUAUGGCCCUUGGGGAGGCUAUAAUGGAGGCUAUAAUCGUUAUAAUGGAGGCUAUAACGGCUAUAAUAGAGGCUAUAAUGGAGGCUACAACCACCACCGCCACCACGGCAGAUCUCGCUGGUGGUAACACAGGAAAAAGAAUUACGCAAACACACUAUGGAAGUCACAUGGACAUUCAUUCGGUGUUGAAAACACAGCAUAUUUCCUCAGCUAUUAACCUAUACUACAAAAUGCUUUAUUAAGCUUGAUGUCUAAUCUAUUGCAAUAACUGGCCAAAUUAUGAUGUUUGUCCACAUGCAACAUUUAAAAAAAAAAAUACAAAAACAAUGAAAAUAAAAACUAAAAAGCCUUUUACAAAUC